GCCACCGUAGCUCAGUUGGUAGAGCAACUGAUUCGUAAUCAGUAGGUCAGCGGUUCGACUCCGCUCGGUGGCU
rnacentral:tRNA from 1 species